UGGCGACCGUGGAGCGGCCUUCUUAUGGCUCCAUUUGUCAUGUGACCAAUGUGGUAUCAUUAUCGCCGCACUAGUUGGUUUCUGAUAUGUGUCGGUGGUUACGGUAGUGCCUUCCACUUUUCCUCCGCUCUACAGUCGCUGGUGCGCGGGGCGAUUGCCCAUUGUACUGGGGAGGACGGCUUCGGCGCGGAAGUAUCACGGAUGGGCCGGGCGGCAGCCGGACAUGGUUGUGGGAGGACCUUGGUGUGCAGGCUCCUUGAUGAAGAGAGGCGUGGGAUCAACACCUCGACAGCCGCAGUUGACGGACAAAGUGAUGCGACGG
rnacentral:lncRNA from 1 species